rnacentral:rRNA from 1 species
GGCGGACGGGUGAGUAAUGCCUAGGAAUCUGCCUGGUAGUGGGGGAUAACGCUCGGAAACGGACGCUAAUACCGCAUACGUCCUACGGGAGAAAGCAGGGGACCUUCGGGCCUUGCGCUAUCAGAUGAGCCUAGGUCGGAUUAGCUAGUUGGUGAGGUAAUGGCUCACCAAGGCGACGAUCCGUAACUGGUCUGAGAGGAUGAUCAGUCACACUGGAACUGAGACACGGUCCAGACUCCUACGGGAGGCAGCAGUGGGGAAUAUUGGACAAUGGGCGAAAGCCUGAUCCAGCCAUGCCGCGUGUGUGAAGAAGGUCUUCGGAUUGUAAAGCACUUUAAGUUGGGAGGAAGGGCAGUUACCUAAUACGUGAUUGUUUUGACGUUACCGACAGAAUAAGCACCGGCUAACUCUGUGCCAGCAGCCGCGGUAAUACAGAGGGUGCAAGCGUUAAUCGGAAUUACUGGGCGUAAAGCGCGCGUAGGUGGUUUGUUAAGUUGGAUGUGAAAUCCCCGGGCUCAACCUGGGAACUGCAUCCAAAACUGGCAAGCUAGAGUAUGGUAGAGGGUGGUGGAAUUUCCUGUGUAGCGGUGAAAUGCGUAGAUAUAGGAAGGAACACCAGUGGCGAAGGC